rnacentral:rRNA from 1 species
CAGUCGUACCUUCGGGUAAUCAGCCUUUCGGGUGCGAUUCUGUGGAGUGUGAGGAGUUAAACGCCUUCAUGCCUGCAUAUUCGUGCACUUUGGGUGUACUUGCUCGUGUGGUAAGUUAACAUCAAUUUUGGUUAUCAUAAAAUGGCUGGAGGAAUGUAGCUUCGAUCUCGUAUUGAAGUGUUAUAGCCUUCGGUAGAUGUGAUGAUCGGGAUUGAGGAUUGCAACGGAUACCCUUCGGGGCUACCUGUCUGAUCUCUGAUCGUUGCUCUGGUGCCGAAAGCUUGCUUACGGUUAUCAAAGUCGAUGGUCAACAGGUUAGAACGGGUUAAA